AAAUUUUUAUUAUUAUUUUUAACAUGUUUUGAAAUUUUGCUGCUCGCAAAUAGGUGCACUGUAACUAUAGUUCAGCCUGUCUCUGAAGCAGGGUUCUUUCCCCCUUGGUAUCAGGGUGAUGAAGCCCCCCAGAGAGUCUGCAUUGAGAGAGUCUAAGUGGAGUGCAGCAGCAGAAGCCGCUCCCCACGCCAGAUGACUCGUCUGAGUCCUCGGCUAGGAAAACAGGAACCAAAGCCAAAUAUGAGAAAUGCGAACAAUCCUACCCUCUACUCUCAAUCCACAGACCAGUGCAGUUUGUCAGACCAUAAUCUCCCCUGUCUCGAGUGUUAGGCACCAGCUGUGAUGACACUGGGCAAUCAAGACUCUCUCUGUGUUGUACUGAUGAGCGCAUCUGCCAGUUCCAAUGAGUCUUUAAUGUCCAUCUUCCUGCUGUUGUUUGGAGAUUAUGCAGUAUUGAUAAAUGUAUUCAAAUAUUAAUGCAAAUCUGGUCUGGUAAGACUGACUUUAUUACACCUUAUUUUCUAAUAGCUUGUUUACAGUUUAUCCCUAAUGUAGCUUUGAGGUUAUUUGAUUUUUUUAGAUGGUGAUUCUUUGUACAUUAUAGUUUGAACAUGACAAUAAUGUCCAUAUACCAUGUCCAAAGUUUCCAGAUUGGAGCCCAAACAAGUAUUGAUGGGAGCAUUUAGCACAUCCAUCAACAAGAUACAAGUUCAUUGGCUUUCUCCUGGAAGACUGGUUUUUGUGUUCUUCCCAACCAUAACAUCUCUCAAUCUGUUAUUGACUAACUUACAUUUAAUAAAUUUAAAGAAGUCUGGUG